rnacentral:rRNA from 1 species
AUGAUUGUGCUCGUCAUGUUUUUGAUGGAAUGCUUGCCCAGAAGCAUAGUCUCAUGGAAUACCAUGAUUGCUGGAUAUACUCAGAGUGGAGAGGAUGUACAAGCUCUGAAGCUUUUUCAAAGGAUGCACCGAGAAGGGACACAACUGACUGAAUUUACUUUAUCCAGCACAAUCUGUGCAUGCGCUGCAAAAUAUGCUAUCAAUGAAUGCAAGCAAUUACACACUAUUGCAUUCAAGCUUGCAUUGGACUCAAACAGCUUUGUUGGGACAGCAAUUCUAGAUGUUUAUGCAAAAUGUAAUAUGAUUAAGGAUGCCUGCUGGGUUUUUGAGAAGAUGCCUGAUAAAACUUUAGUUGCAUGGAGUUCAUUGUUCGCAGGAUAUGUGCAGAAUGGUCUUCACAAAGAAGCAUUAUGUUUAUUUCGGAAUGCCCAAAGGGAAGGAGUAAAAUUGACGGAAUUCACUCUUUCUGCUAUCAUUAGCGCAUGUGCAAGCUUAGCAUUGAAAAUUGAAGGGACACAACUGCAUGCAGUUAUUGUGAAAUGUGGUUUUCAUGGGAACUUCUUGGCAGCAUCUCUUGUGGAUGUGUAUGCAAGGUGUGGCCAGAUUGAAAAAUCUUAUGCACUAUUUGCUUAUAUGGAACAGAAGAAUGUGGUCAUAUGGAAUGCAAUGAUUGGUGGUUUUUCGAGGCAUGCCCAUUCUUGGGAAGCUAUGAUUCUCUUUGAGAAAAUGCACCAGUUACGUAUUUUUCCAAACGAAGUUACCUAUCUAUCCAUGUUGUCACUGUGCAGUCAUGCAGGUUUAGUUGAAGAGGGUCGUCACUACUUUAACCUGCUAAUAUCUGAUCGGACUGUUGAACCUAAUGUCCUUCACUAUUCUUGCAUGGUUGAUGUUCUGGGUCGAUCUGGGAAGACUGAUGAGGCCUGGAAAUUGCUUCACAAAAUGCCAUUUGAGCCAACUGCUUCUAUGUGGGGAUCUUUGCUUGGGUCAUGCAGAAACUACAAUAAUAGUGACUUAGCCAGAAUAGCUGCCGAACAGCUUUUCCAACUUGAGCCUGACAAUGGAGGGAACCAUGUUUUGCUCUCAAAUGUAUAUGCUGCCAGCGGGAACUGGGAGAAUGUUCUGAUGGCAAGGAAAUAUUUGAAGGAUAGUGGUGCAAAGAAAGAAAUGGGCAGGAGUUGGAUUGAAGCAAAGGGCAAAAUUCAUGUCUUUGUUGUUGGAGAGAGAAAGCACCCAGCAAUCACUGAUAUCUACAAUAAGUUGGAGGAAAUUUAUCACGAUAUGAAAAAAAUUGCUCACAUAACCAAAAUAGAAUGUGAUCUGCAUGAUGUUCAUGACGACCAAAAAGAGGAUCUGCUUAAACAUCACAGUGAGAAGUUAGCACUUGCUUUUGGGUUAAUCAGCUUACCUCCUAAUAUACCAAUUAUAAUACACAAGAACCUUAGGAUAUGCGGGGACUGUCAUUCAUUCAUGAAGGUUGCAGCCCAUAUUACCAAACGUCUUUUCAUUGUCAGAGAUACCAAUAGAUUUCACCAUUUUAAGGAUGGCUCAUGUUCUUGUGGGGACUUUUGGUGA